rnacentral:piRNA from 1 species
UAGACCUUAAAUACCACGCGUAGGCUGACA